rnacentral:snRNA from 1 species
UGAUGGACCAGGGAGGGUUGAUUUUAUGAUAACUAAGGUGUUUUUCCCAUGGAGAUGUGAUGACCUUGUGAUUUCCCCAAAUGUGGAAAACUCAACUGUAUAAUUUUUUGGUAGUUGGGGGCUGAAUUUGUGCUCUCCCCUU